GACGAACGCUGGCGGCGUGCUUAACACAUGCAAGUCGAACGGAAAGGCCCUGCUUUUGUGGGGUGCUCGAGUGGCGAACGGGUGAGUAACACGUGAGUAACCUGCCCUUGACUUUGGGAUAACUUCAGGAAACUGGGGCUAAUACCGGAUAGGAGCUCCUGCUGCAUGGUGGGGGUUGGAAAGUUUCGGCGGUUGGGGAUGGACUCGCGGCUUAUCAGCUUGUUGGUGGGGUAGUGGCUUACCAAGGCUUUGACGGGUAGCCGGCCUGAGAGGGUGACCGGCCACAUGGGGACUGAGAUACGGCCCAGACUCCUACGGGAGGCAACAGUGGGGAAUAUUGCACAAUGGGCGGAAGCCUGAUGCAGCAACGCCGCGUGCGGGAUGACGGCCUUCGGGUUGUAAACCGCUUUCGCCUGUGACGAAGCGUGAGUGACGGUAAUGGGGAAAGAAGCACCGGCUAACUACGU
rnacentral:rRNA from 1 species